ACACGCCACAUCUGCCACACUGUCGAUAAUGUCCAUUUUAGGUAUUGUAGGCCGUCCGGAUGCCGUCAGAACGGAUCGAUUUAUGUAUUGCGGGGAAUGGAGCUUCUCGCAAAAGCUCCGAAACGAUAUGUUUAUUUGCGCCAAGUUGCCCGCUCUUGCAUAACUUAGGGCAGACGAGUAAGACGCACCAUUGAACGUAUAGAAAUCUCGUUUUGCCUUUUAGCCUGUAGCCGAAUGCAUGCAUCAGGAAAAAAAAAGUAGCCCAUUAUCUAAACAAAUCCCCAUCCCACUGCUUGCACUUGAAUGCAAAUUGAAAUGGGGCGCCUCCGUGAAAUUUCGUACCAAUCUCAUCAUCAGCAGUCCCAAACCAUCCGCCCCGUGUAAGGGAAAGCUUACAUAACGCUGUUGCCCAGUGUUGUUGUGGAAUCGUACAGCCCCGGGUAUGAGUAAAGAAGCAAUGCUCCGAUCGAUCCGAUCGGAUAUGUCUCCCAUAUAUAUAUAUACUGAAACGGAAAUCGACGAAACAGACACGAUCCCCGUAGUAUCAUAUCGUACGAGCGUGUUUGCGUGUUACGCGCAAAAUAGUAAAACCACUAGACGAGUUUCACUUUUUUUUCUGCUCCUGCGUACACUGCAAUAAAAGAACCGUCUGGGAGAGCGUAAAUCAGCGUUCCGGGGUGACAUGCACGUGUAUACGGGGUGACUUUCGAUCUUCGCCGUUCGAGAGCCGGUGGAAUGGGGCUGCUCAAGCAAUAAAAUUGCUUGAUUUACUCUCGCGUUUAUUGGACACGGCACGAACAUUCAAAAUGGGAGGAACGGAGGACAGGGCGCGAUUACGCUAAUGCUCCUCAGAGCACUCUCGUACACACGUGUGUGUUUGUCACACUGUAGUAAAAUCACAUGAUGCAUAUAUGCCUAGCUUGUAUGUCACGGAGCAAGCGUAAUUGCUAGCUUCUCGGGAACGUACGUGGUAUCGAUCGAUAAUGUGCGGGUGACUGAUUUGCCGAGGUUCUAUUAAAAUAUGAAGAAGUUACGAGAAUGGACAUUUUAACAGAACACCUUCCAGUGAUUGUGGGAUCCGCAAACGGGCGGUGGUAGUUUUUCAGUUGCAAGCUUCUCGCACGACGAGGUGCGAGAAAUCGUCACCAAUGCCUUUGGACGUGGAUGACCAAGUGCGACAAGUGAUGUCAGCCUGACGAUGGAAUUAGCAAACACCCCCCCUACCAGAGGGCCAGGGGGCGUGUUACGUAAGCCCUGGCCUACAGAUCGUACAGUAGCACCACAUCAAACCCGUACACGUGUGACUGUUGCACUGCCACUGUAGCCAUGUGGUGCGCGUGAAGUAAACAUCCUGUCCCAACAGGUUUUUGGGACCAAAAGUUUAAUGUCACUGGUGGUCGUCCGAUUUUCGACUAUAGGGAGUGUUGUCUAUGGAUACGAGUGGCAAAAGACAUCUAUUCUACAGUCUGGACAAAUAGUCCCACCACUUCAAUCGAAUCGGACUCUUCAAGGAACUGCCUAACGAGUUCUCCUGCCCAUCCUUCUCCAAGCCCCACAGUAGACGUAGAAGUUUGUCGGAAAAUAGACUGCAAAAAAAAUAAUGCAAAGUAAGCCAAUUAGUGUUGUCCCAUAUCUGUGUCUUCUUGGGGAUUUCCCCAAACCAGUCGUUGCCAAGUUCACCAAGUCUUGCUUACCGAAGCGAUUGUGACGUUUUAGUAGUGAGGGGUGAGCGAAAGUAAUGAACGUCUGGCUUGGGGUUUUGUUUUUUUUUGUUUCACAAGGAAGCGUUACUGCGUUAUCUGGUCAUGUCUCAUCCAAGUAAUUGUAUUCACAGAACUGGCCAAACGCACGCAUUUUAAUGGCCAAAUCCAGGGAACUGUUGACGUACGGUGGCAGCUCCGAGGCGAGAUAGCUCAUGCAAUGCUGUGUUGUCUUUAACAGUGCGUCACUGUUUGUUUAAGCUCUAAUUGUUGUUUAUACUUUUGCAGCGCACACCAACGCUACCGAUUCACGCGCCCGGCUGCAUUCGUGGGAGACGGAUGUGGUGUUGUUGAUUUGCAAAUUGUCUUAAAAAUAGUCACAGCCAGCAGUCGAGUGGCAUCAUCAUCUUUAUUUCACGUGCUAUGCCCUCUCUCUCUCUCUUUAUCUCUCGCUCACACUCGCAUCCCUUCCAGAGGUGCAUGUUGUUUCGGAAAAUUGUUCAAACGCCAGUACGCGUUGUGUUAAUGUCAAACCAUCAGCCAAUGCAAAUAUUGUGCAUUCGCUGCGCAUUGGUCCCUUGGAAGAGGAGGGAGGAGAAGAAGGGGUAUGUGUGUAGUCUGAAAGGUCCCUCGCCCAACUCCGCGCAAUGCAACCGGGGCCGGAAGGAGCUACAAUGAGACAAAAAAAACAAACCGGUCCUCUCCUCAGGAGGGAACUCCAAGGACAGCAGGAUUGUUUGCGAGGAUGGUAAGAAGGUAGAAUAAUUUGGGAAAGAUGUAAAAAGGGGUAUUAGUAGGGUAGGGGUAUGCACAUGAGCCAUACACAUACACAUCUUCCCAUGACAUCAUCAGUCCAGCCAGCUUGUGCCAGCAAUGUGUUGUACUGUAGUGAUUCCUUUUUGCCGCUGCUGUUAGCCUAUUUUGGUGUGUUGUGAUUCAUACCAUAACUUCACUGGCCCGGCACCACCCUACCCCAUACUAAAACAAAACGUGCAAAAGCAACAGCAGCAGUAACGAAAAUAAAGACCCUCGGAUGCCGCUGUCGUCAUGCCGCCAUGUGUGUUGGAAAAAAUGGAACCACGAAUGUUGUUCUGUUUGAAAGUACAGCACCAAAAAAAAAAAAAGAAAAAAACGUAAGAAAGAAAAGCAAACAAAAUCAAUGAGAUCAUUUUUCACGGCUGCGAAACAUUGGUGAAUAAGUGUGUUACUCACGGACGAUGAGUGCGUUAGCCGGUGGUGAGAUGAGAUGCCUAGCUCACUAUGAUGAGUGAGAGUGAAAUCUAAUGAUACACAGCGUUUUUUUUAGGUCAUGUAGCAAGUGUGUCUUCCUGUUUAACACAGUGUGCUGGUCGAGAUAUAACAACAGUAGAGGACGUAAACUAAACUGCUUUGCAAUGUCAAAAUUGCCAUUUUUGGUUUUAAACAUGUAGACAAUUGUUGUGUGAGCUGAGCGCCGGUUCACUAUAGUGAGACGGUGUUCACUUAAAGACUGCACAUGUGAUGUGCCAUUCUAUCUCACCUCUCCAUGGAUGGUUAUUUGUCUGGCCUUUUUGGGAAGGUCUUCUCCUGUCACCGGUGUUCUAGAAUUGUGAACAAAAGGUUACUAAGGAAAAUAAUAUAUAAAUAUUUUUAUAUAAUCUCAAAAUGAAUUUGACGGGUCUAGCAUGUAUGUUUCUGGGCGGUCCGGUGGCCGAGGCGAUAACACAACAGGACCUGGGUUCAAAUCCUAUCCAGACCGCUUCCCUCGUACGUGGGGCUUGACUACUCCACAGAAGUAGUAGUUGACCAAGUCACAGAAGGCCAGAAAUGACAGUUCGCGCCCUCUCUAGGUUGUAGUGCCAAGGAAGAAGAAAAAGUGUUUAUGGAAUGACAAUGACGAGCUCCAGAAGCUGCUGUACGGUGAUCUCACCAUGGUGCAGUCUACUGGUGGGCUAGUCAUGUCAGCAGAAUGACACUGGACGACACACGACCGUUAAGUAUACGUAGGCCGUUCACCUAGAUAGAGGAUGCGCCAAGGAGAGGGACCAAUAUACAGGUCUAGCAGACGAUAGCUCUAGACCCCAGUAUCGAGAGGGAAAAAAGCAAUCACUUAAAAAAACGAAAAAUUGGUGCAUUUAAUUUGUAGUUGUCAAACAUAUUCUUGCUGUGAUAGCUCUUCGCAAACAUCCCGCACUGAUAGCUCUUUACAAACCUCGCACAAAUUCUGAUGCGAGUUCGGAAACACAAACACCAACAGGCGAAAACGAAGAAGAGCCCCCAAAAACACCUCCGCCAAUCGCCGCUUGACAAGUAAUAUGUUCCUGAUAACAUCACUCCAUUCCCGAUAAGGUGUUGAAAAAAGAACUGUAUUCGAUUGAUUCUCUACUGCUGCUUUCUAGUUCCUUCGAAUCGAUUUUGCACUGAUUUGAGCAUACAGCUGUAGAGAAUAGCGUUGCAAAAAAAAAAAAAAA